rnacentral:rRNA from 1 species
AACGAACGCUGGCGGCAGGCCUAACACAUGCAAGUCGAGCGAGGACUUCGGUCCUAGCGGCGGACGGGUGAGUAACGCGUGGGAACGUGCCCUUUGCUUCGGAAUAGCCCUGGGAAACUGGGAGUAAUACCGGAUGAGCCCUUUGGGGGAAAGAUUUAUCGGCGAAGGAUCGGCCCGCGUUGGAUUAGGUAGUUGGAGGGGUAAUGGCCUACCAAGCCGACGAUCCAUAGCUGGUUUGAGAGGAUGAUCAGCCACACUGGGACUGAGACACGGCCCAGACUCCUACGGGAGGCAGCAGUGGGGAAUCUUAGACAAUGGGGGAAACCCUGAUCUAGCCAUGCCGCGUGAGCGAUGAAGGCCUUAGGGUUGUAAAGCUCUUUCAGCUGGGAAGAUAAUGACGGUACCAGCAGAAGAAGCCCCGGCUAACUCCGUG